rnacentral:rRNA from 1 species
CGGAGCUUGCUCCACCGGAAAAAGAAGAGUGGCGAACGGGUGAGUAACACGUGGGUAACCUGCCCAUCAGAAGGGGAUAACACUUGGAAACAGGUGCUAAUACCGUAUAACAAUCGAAACCGCAUGGUUUUGAUUUGAAAGGCGCUUUCGGGUGUCGCUGAUGGAUGGACCCGCGGUGCAUUAGCUAGUUGGUGAGGUAACGGCUCACCAAGGCCACGAUGCAUAGCCGACCUGAGAGGGUGAUCGGCCACAUUGGGACUGAGACACGGCCCAAACUCCUACGGGAGGCAGCAGUAGGGAAUCUUCGGCAAUGGACGAAAGUCUGACCGAGCAACGCCGCGUGAGUGAAGAAGGUUUUCGGAUCGUAAAACUCUGUUGUUAGAGAAGAACAAGGAUGAGAGUAACUGUUCAUCCCUUGACGGUAUCUAACCAGAAAGCCACGGCUAACUACGUGCCAGCAGCCGCGGUAAUACGUAGGUGGCAAGCGUUGUCCGGAUUUAUUGGGCGUAAAGCGAGCGCAGGCGGUUUCUUAAGUCUGAUGUGAAAGCCCCCGGCUCAACCGGGGAGGGUCAUUGGAAACUGGGAGACUUGAGUGCAGAAGAGGAGAGUGGAAUUCCAUGUGUAGCGGUGAAAUGCGUAGAUAUAUGGAGGAACACCAGUGGCGAAGGCGGCUCUCUGGUCUGUAACUGACGCUGAGGCUCGAAAGCGUGGGGAGCAAACAGGAUUAGAUACCCUGGUAGUCCACGCCGUAAACGAUGAGUGCUAAGUGUUGGAGGGUUUCCGCCCUUCAGUGCUGCAGCUAACGCAUUAAGCACUCCGCCUGGGGAGUACGACCGCAAGGUUGAAACUCAAAGGAAUUGACGGGGGCCCGCACAAGCGGUGGAGCAUGUGGUUUAAUUCGAAGCAACGCGAAGAACCUUACCAGGUCUUGACAUCCUUUGACCACUCUAGAGAUAGAGCUUCCCCUUCGGGGGCAAAGUGACAGGUGGUGCAUGGUUGUCGUCAGCUCGUGUCGUGAGAUGUUGGGUUAAGUCCCGCAACGAGCGCAACCCUUAUUGUUAGUUGCCAUCAUUCAGUUGGGCACUCUAGCAAGACUGCCGGUGACAAACCGGAGGAAGGUGGGGAUGACGUCAAAUCAUCAUGCCCCUUAUGACCUGGGCUACACACGUGCUACAAUGGGAAGUACAACGAGUCGCGAAGUCGCGAGGCUAAGCUAAUCUCUUAAAGCUUCUCUCAGUUCGGAUUGUAGGCUGCAACUCGCCUACAUGAAGCCGGAAUCGCUAGUAAUCGCGGAUCAGCACGCCGCGGUGAAUACGUUCCCGGGCCUUGUACACACCGCCCGUCACACCACGAGAGUUUGUAACACCCGAAGUCGGUGAGGUAACCUU